GACGAACGCUGGCGGCGUGCCUAAUACAUGCAAGUCGAACGCAUUUUCUUUCACCGUAGCUUGCUACACCGAAAGAAAAUGAGUGGCGAACGGGUGAGUAACACGUGGGUAACCUGCCCAUCAGCGGGGGAUAACACUUGGAAACAGGUGCUAAUACCGCAUAAUUCCAUUUACCGCAUGGUAAAUGGAUGAAAGGCGCUUUUGCGUCACUGAUGGAUGGACCCGCGGUGCAUUAGCUAGUUGGUGGGGUAACGGCCUACCAAGGCUGCGAUGCAUAGCCGACCUGAGAGGGUGAUCGGCCACACUGGGACUGAGACACGGCCCAGACUCCUACGGGAGGCAGCAGUAGGGAAUCUUCGGCAAUGGACGCAAGUCUGACCGAGCAACGCCGCGUGAGUGAAGAAGGGUUUCGGAUCGUAAAACUCUGUUGUUAGAGAAGAACGAGGAUGAGAGUGGAAAGUUCAUCCCUUGACGGUAGCUAACCAGAAAGCCACGGCUAACUACGUG
rnacentral:rRNA from 1 species